rnacentral:rRNA from 1 species
UACGAAGGGGGCUAGCGUUGCUCGGAAUCACUGGGCGUAAAGGGUGCGUAGGCGGGUCUUUAAGUCAGGGGUGAAAUCCUGGAGCUCAACUCCAGAACUGCCUUUGAUACUGGGGAUCUCGAGUCCGGGAGAGGUGAGUGGAACUGCGAGUGUAGAGGUGAAAUUCGUAGAUAUUCGCAAGAACACCAGUGGCGAAGGCGGCUCACUGGCCCGAUACUGACGCUGAGGCACGAAAGCGUGGGGAGCAAACAGG